rnacentral:rRNA from 1 species
GACGAACGCUGGCGGCGUGCUUAACACAUGCAAGUCGAACGGAAAGGCCCUGCUUUUGUGGGGUGCUCGAGUGGCGAACGGGUGAGUAACACGUGAGUAACCUGCCCUUGACCUUGGGAUAACUUCAGGAAACUGGGGCUAAUACCGGAUAGGAGCUCCUGCUGCAUGGUGGGGGUUGGAAAGCUUCGGCGGUUGGGGAUGGACUCGCGGCUUAUCAGCUUGUUGGUGGGGUAGUGGCUUACCAAGGCUUUGACGGGUAGCCGGCCUGAGAGGGUGACCGGCCACAUUGGGACUGAGAUACGGCCCAGACUCCUACGGGAGGCAGCAGUGGGGAAUAUUGCACAAUGGGCGGAAGCCUGAUGCAGCAACGCCGCGUGCGGGAUGACGGCCUUCGGGUUGUAAACCGCUUUCGCCUGUGACGAAGCGUGAGUGACGGUAAUGGGUAAAGAAGCACCGGCUAACUACGUG